rnacentral:lncRNA from 1 species
GCUCCCCAGCUUCCAGCACAUUCCACUCAUUCCGUGAUAUAUCAACAAUGUAUUUUGUCCUGAUUUAGAUUCUAAAACAAGCCCGUUUGUUCAGGAGUCUACAAGGUUCAUUGUCUGUUCCUUGAUGUGACUGGGUCAUCGGAAGACUCUGAGUCAUCGUGGGUCCUCUGCUCCCUCUCUCACCUGGGGACAAAUAAUCAAAAUGUCGUCGGCAGCCUCUGACACAUUCACUCUGCUCUAAGACUCCUGAAAAGCCAGCCUUGUUCUUGGCGAGUUCAUUUUCUGUUUUCCCGAUUCCUUCUGGAUCCAGAGAUGGGAUCAGGUGCUAAGACCCCAUUAGCCAACUCUAAACUGUAAGAUCUACCAGCAACGACAACAACAAAAACAACAACAACAACAACAACAACAAACCCAAAAGCCUGGAAGUGAAGCAUCACAAAAAAACAUUCUAAAGCUUUGUCUUUGUUUAAGGGAGACAUGGAAGAAGAUAAUGGCAGGCAAACUGGGAUAUAAUGUAUAUGAUCUAUAAUGUACAGCCACAGAUGAUAGAACCUAUACAUGCCAUAACUAAGGACAUAAGGAAAGGAAGAAAGUCGUCUUUCCGAGCAUCAGCUUCCUUCUGUAUCCCACAGCCGUGUGGACUUUGAUUAACACACAAAGUGGAAAUUUCCAAUUAUAGAUAUCAUUUAGCCACCAUGGCACCAUGAGGGGAAAGAAAAAAAAAAAAAACAUAGUGAAAAUCGAAUCAAAGGCAGUACAUGAAUCAUCAACUCGGAACUCAGACCUCAAAGAUGUCCUGGGCGACCUCAGUAAGUCCGGUGGAUUCUCUGUCGGGUUAGAAAUAUUAACAUGAAUCUCACGGAUCCUGGCAUCACCUGGAAAAGCACGUGUUGCUUUUCAACAACACACUACGAGAACUUCCACAAGCACUUAAUCUUCGGGGCUCUUUAGUUAUUUUCCGAAAUAAAGAGAGGGACUUCUAUUUCUAUU